CAAAGCAUAGCUAAACCAGGAAAGCAUCUCCCUUACACCGAGAAGAUAUCCAUGCAAAUUGGGUUGCCUUGA
rnacentral:tRNA from 1 species